AUAAAUGGGACAAAUGAUUUUUAGCCAGAUUAAAAAUGGAAUUACAGUAAGUCCCUCUAAAUGGCAACACAUGUAACAUGCUGAUUGUAUGGAACAUAUUUUCUACUAAUAAAACCUGUUCUUUCUUUUGCAAUCUGAAGGCAGACAGAAUUCAAGAUCUCAAGAUCUGUGCAAAAAUUAUAAUGUACUGGUUUUACAUUUCUGAAAUAAUUCAAAUCUUAUAUUCUACCUCUACUCUAUAUUGAAUGACAUUCAGGAGCCUCAAAGCCCAAUUACUUUCAAUUAACUGUGAGAGUUUGCCACCUAGAGGAAGAAAAUAUAAACAUGUUUGAAAAAUAGUUUCACCACACAGCAUAGUUUGUAUUUGUGUUAAGUGGUCCUAAAAUCAAAAUAUUAAUGUUCAUA